GCCCUUAAAAUGGGAGGCGCUAUAGCGUCGUGCCUAUACCGGACCGUCGGUCGGCAGAGCGAACGUUCCGAGCCGUCGAGGCAGAGAAGGAACGCCGAGGCCCCGACGAGUAGGGGGGUCGCGACGGUGUGCGUAGAAGGAUCUGGGCGUGAGCCUGUCCGGAGCCGCCGUCGGUGCAGAUCUUGGUGGUAGUAGCAAAUACUCCAGAGGGAUCCUGGAGGACUGACGUGGAGAAGGGUUUCAUGUGAACAGUGGUUGGACAUGAGUCAGUCGAUCCUAAGCCGCAGGGGAAACCCGGCCUAGUGACAGGCGUGACUUCAUUCAAACGCCCGGGCGAGCGAGCAAUCGCAAGCCCGGGCGCUCAAAGUACGAAGCGCCUACUAGUCGAGGCGAAAGGGAAUCUGGUCCUGAUUCCAGAACCGAGCUGCGGCUACGUCCGUACGUGACGACUCGUCGUCUCUACGGUCGCGGUAACGCGACACAGACCGGAGAAGCUGCCGAAAACCCCGGGAAGAGUUUUCUUUUCUGCUUAAGGGACCGACACCCUGGAAUCCCGUCGCGGGGCGAGAGGGUUGCGGAUACGGCUGUCAAAGGCCAUCCCGAAGAGCGCCGCGUUUCCGCGGCGUCCGUGGUCGUUUUCGGCUGCCCUUGAAAAUCCGGUUGGAGGGCUACGUCAUUGGAUGUUCGCGCUCGUCGUACCGAUAUCCGCAUCAGGUCUCCAAGGUGAACAGCCUCUAGUCGAU
rnacentral:rRNA from 1 species